CUGUCGCUGGGGAGAAAUUCAGCUUGGGGGAAAGCGCCGCGAAGUAUAAUUUUAAAUAAAGUAAAACAUUCUAAAUAAUAAAAUAUUGUUUAUUAUUUAUAUUUCUAUUUCUAUUAAUUUAUUUAUUGACUACUUUUUUUGCCUACUUUAUCCUCCAAUUGGAGGAAGGGUAGGGCUUAGUAGUAAGGAGUAUUUUAUUUUUAAUUCUAACUUUAAUAGGUUAAAUAAACUAAAGAAAUAUUCUUAACCUUAAAAAAGCUAAUCUUUCGCCUACGCGGUAAAAAGGUAAGAAAAAUCAGAGGUUAAAAUAAUAAAUGAAAAGAAAAAUUGAUUUGAUUAUUCAUUUAUUUGAAUAGUAAGUGUAGUUAUUCUUUAACUUAUAAUUUUAUUAUAAUUUGAUUAGGUAUUUAACUGCUUUUUUUAUGUAUAAUUAGUUUCGACUAACCCAUCUGAGUAACAUCUCAAAAGUCAUAGCA
rnacentral:rRNA from 1 species